rnacentral:rRNA from 1 species
GAUGAACGCUAGCUGGAGGCUUAAUACAUGCAAGUCGAGCGGAAUUGGUAGCAAUACCAUGAGAGCGGCGCACGGGUGAGUAACGCGUACACGACCUACCUCUGACAGAGGGAUAGCCCUGGGAAACUGGGAUUAAUACCGCAUAUUAUUCUGAUUAAUAAAGGAUUGGAAUGAAAGUUCAGGCGGUCAGAGAUGGGUGUGCGUCUGAUUAGCUAGUUGGUGGGGUAACGGCCUACCAAGGCGAUGAUCAGUAGGGGGCGUGAGAGCGUGGUCCCCCACACGGGUACUGAGACACGGACCCGACUCCUACGGGAGGCAGCAGUAAGGAAUAUUGGACAAUGGCCGCAAGGCUGAUCCAGCCAUCCAGCGUGCAGGAAGAAGGCCCUAUGGGUUGUAAACUGCUUUUAUCAGGGAAGAAACCUCUGGAUUUACUCCGGAGCUGACGGUACCUGAAGAAUAAGCACCGGCUAACUCCGUGCCAGCCGCCGCAGUAACAC